UACCAGCACCCCGAGUGGUCGGGACGAUUAUUGGGCCUAAAGCAUCCGUAGCCGGUUCUAUAAGUCUUCCGUUAAAUCCACCUGCUUAACAGAUGGGCUGCGGAGGAUACUAUGGAGCUAGGAGGCGGGAGAGGCAAGCGGUACUUAGUGGGUAGGGGUAAAAUCCGUUGAUCCAUUGAAGAACACCCGUGGCGAAGGCGGCUUUCUGGGACGGUACUGACGCUGAGACGCGAAAGCGUGGGGAGCGAACAGG
rnacentral:rRNA from 1 species